rnacentral:tRNA from 1 species
ACCCGUGUGGUGCAAAUGGAAGACACGCCGGAUGUCAGUCCGGUGCCGAAAUUGUCGCAAGGCGAUUAGGUAGUGCUGGUUCGAAUCCAGCCACGGGCA